UUGACCUCGGAUCAGGUAGGGAUACCCGCUGAACUUUUAAGCCUAAAA
rnacentral:rRNA from 1 species